rnacentral:tRNA from 1 species
GCCAGCAUUGCAUAGUGGUUUGAGUGUUGGACUAGGACUCUGGAGGCCAGGGUUCAAUCCCCCACUUGGCG